AGCGCACCGUUUUCUGCUGAACAUGUUUCUCGCGGUCCACCGAGAAAGGUUUCUGCGUACGCUGGUGGAUUUCGCGGUCGAACUCCUGUUUUCAUUUGUAGCCUGUCUCAACUCUUUUUGCACGAUAGCCCAGUUUAGCUGCAGAAAAAUGUACGAGGCACCGCUACGUCAAAAGAGCCGCUUUGUGCUGCUGGCUUUGUCUUUGCUUGUCGCAUACACCGAGAGCUGUUGAGAAUCUCGCUUUCACUCCUUUGCCGGCAGCGCGGCAUCCUUAAGGCAAUCAGCGCAUUUCUUACCAGGAAGAAAGUCAAACAACUGGGCGGUUGCGUGUGGAAAAAGCAGGCUCUCUCGUGGAAUCGUUCGUAGAUAAUUUCAAGUCGCUCAGCAUUCGUCUGUCAGUUCCAAGCGAAGACGACGAGUCGCGCUACCUCAUGUCAACUCUGCCGCUCCACGCGCGGAUUUUCUGAACCGUUUAGACAACGCAUGACGACGGCAGACUGCGGAACAUGCAAACGACCGGCCCUCUGUCGGGCGUUCAAAGAGCUGCACGUUGGGUCUCUUGGGACUCGGUAGUUUCUGGAGACCUCGUUUUUUCUGCGAAAAAAAGUGUGGCUUCCUUUUCCACAGAGACGCAGCAUCGCAAACCAAGUGCGUCGGCUUCGCCUCAUCGACCGACUCGAGGAAAAACGCAGAAACGCGGUUCUUCCGGCUCUCGUGUGUCAUGCAUGCGCCGGGGGAGGAACCCAGUUGAGUCGUACUCUUCCGAGACGUCGAGACAGCGUCUGGAAGUCGCAGGCAAAGAUGGAAACAAGAUCCUUUGUAAAGCGUCUUUGCGGACAGAGGCGAGGCGGAAGGAAUCGACUCACGUAGAUUGAGGAAAGACCUUCUUAUCAAUGGACACAGAAAGGCGCACAUCACAGUGCCUCGCCGAAACGCAGAAUUCGCCGCAUGUAGCAGUAGAGCG
rnacentral:lncRNA from 1 species